GUNUGAUGUGAAAGCCCCCGGCUCAACCGGGGAGGGUCAUUGGAAACUGGGGAACUUGAGUGCAGAAGAGGAGAGUGGAAUUCCAUGUGUAGCGGUGAAAUGCGUAGAUAUAUGGAGGAACACCAGUGGCGAAGGCGACUCUCUGGUCUGUAACUGACGCUGAGGCUCGAAAGCGUGGGUAGCAAACAGGAUUAGAUACCCUGGUAGUCCACGCCGUAAACGAUGAGUGCUAAGUGUAGGAGGGUUUCCGCCCUUCAGUGCUGCAGUUAACGCAUUAAGCACUCCGCCUGGGGAGUACGACCGCAAGGUUGAAACUCAAAGGAAUUGACGGGGACCCGCACAAGCGGUGGAGCAUGCGGUUUAAUUCGAAGCAACGCGAAGAACCUUACCAAGUCUUGACAUCCUUUGACCACUCUAGAGAUAGAGCUUUCCCUUCGGGGACAAAGUGACAGGUGGUGCAUGGUUGUCGUCAGCUCGUGUCGUGAGAUGUUGGGUUAAGUCCCGCAACGAGCGCAACCCUUAUUACUGGUUGCCAGCAUUCGGUUGGGCACUCUAGUGAGACUGCCGGUGACAAACCGGAGGAAGGUGGGGAUGACGUCAAAUCAUCAUGCCCCUUAUGACUUGGGCUACACACGUGCUACAAUGGAUGGUACAACGAGCAGCGAACUCGCGAGGGUAAGCGAAUCUCUUAAAGCCAUUCUCAGUUCGGAUUGUAGGCUGCAACUCGCCUACAUGAAGCCGGAAUCGCUAGUAAUCGCGGAUCAGCACGCCGCGGUGAAUACGUUCCCGGGUCUUGUACACACCGCCCGUCACACCACGAGAGUUUGUAACACCCAAAGUCGGUGAGGUAACCUUUNGGAGCCA
rnacentral:rRNA from 1 species